GUUGCGACAGCGUCCAUCGACUCCAGAUGCGAGGCGCGCACAGAAGCAGCCGGUGUGCGCCGGUCGAUUCGAUCUACCGGAGAUGCGGGAUCGAGGCAAAUUGAUGGGCGCGCUCGGAUCGACCGGACGAGCGGCAUCGAUCGUGCUCCAGCCGAUGCGCUCCAGCAUGCCAUUGAUUCCAGGUGCGCGACGGGAUCAGCGGAGAGACGUGCGGGUGAUGAAAGGUGGGGGCUAGAGCGAUAAUGGCAGACCCCUCGUCUGCUAGAAACUGCCUCGUUCACUCUUGAAGCUCACAAUCAUGGCUGGUAAUGUCGGGAUCCUUUCAUAUGCCCGGUGAUACUAUAUAAUGCUUCCUCCCCGGUCAGUGUUUGUCCAGCCUCUUCACUCUGGCAGAGCAGAAACAUCUUUCAGCAUCACGCUAGCGUAAACAUUUACAUUGUCCUCAUAUCCUCUCACAGAAGAUCUUCAUAUCCUUCGUUCAUACAAAAAAAAAUGUACAGGUGAUGUUCAUGGUGCGUCUGGCCGAUUGAUUUGGUCAGAUUCUGGAGCUUUGUGGGAUUUAUUUAUUUUGUGCUCGCCCGUUCAUAAUCUGAGAUAGCUUUAGGACAGAUGCUACGACAACGCCUACUUUGCCAAGGUGGGCCAAAUCAGCCUGCCGGCGAUGAACUACCUGAGGUGGACUAACUCUUCGGCGUUGGUUUUGAGUUGAACAUGUUGCCGGAUACAUUCGAUCAUUACUGCACCAUCCUCCGGUCUGAGAUACUCUGCCUGGCUAUUUCCUCCCUGCUCAUUUUUGUUUAUACUCAGUUCUUGUGCGUAACCAACAGCCUACACUAAAGACACCAGGAAGAGAUAAACAAGCUCAUAGUUAGUCUACAAAUCUCAUAUUUUUAGUGAAGGUGAACACUGCACAUACAAUCAUAUCAUUGAAUUACAGCUAACUGAGAGAAUAAAAAACACAAAAUGCUAUAUGAUGCUCAAUAUAUUGUGUGCGACUAACAUAUGCUGAUUUUUAGUAUAUUGAGAAUUGGAUGUACAGGUGCAUCAGACAGUGGUUAUACCAUUGUCUUUUUUAGCUAGCAAAGAUCUCCUAUGACAUACAUUAUGAUUGGAUUAUUAGAACAUAUUUAUUCAGAUUGGUCCAUUGCGUGUGAGGUACCAAAAUUUUCUUAAUGCCUAGAAUCUCUUCUGAAAACCAUGUUUCAUACUUCAAAAAAAAGUUUGUUCAUGCCAGUACUAUUGUGCUUGCUGUUAUUUACGUUCCUUUUACUGUAUUAUUUUUCAUCAGAAGAAAAUUACUCCAGUAAACUCCCAGAACCUAUUGUAUGGUAGUUUCUUAUGUAUUUUGUCUCCUCUUCUCUGCAGACUAACUUUAAGCAACUAAAACCAAACACAUGGCUUCUUUUUCUGACAGUAGAAGUUUACUUUUCCCCACCCGAUAGGUUAUCUUCCUCUAAAUCAUGUGGUUCAAUUUUCAGGUAUGAGUACCGAUGGAAAUGAACUACAUAGGAGAAAUUACCAUGUUGUUCCAUUAAAUAACUAACUCACAAUGUACUGUAUUGCGGUGGCAAUAAAUGAUGAUUUUCAACCAUUUAAAUUCAGAUAGCAUGUCGUGGACGAUUUUCAGCCAGUCCCGGACCCUUCAGGACGGCCGCGUCCCAACGAUCCCUGAGCUAGCGGCCCGGCGUGCUGCGGCCCGCGAUUUGUUCCUAGCACUGGCAUCCGCUCGUUAGGACCCGGGACCGGGGCCGACUUCAGCACUACCUGGACGCGUUGAUGGCGGCCGCCCGACAGCUCUCCUCCCCCUUGAUUGCUGCCUAGCUGGCCCCGUGUGGGCAUUUUUUGUUUCUUCUCUUUAUUUUGGGCUGGACUGUGCUGUUGCCCCAGCGGACUAUCUUCUUUAUUUUCUGUGUUCGGACUUGUGUGUUGGAUUCUGGCCGUUGUGCUUUAUCUAUAAAGUGGGGCGAAAGCCUGU